rnacentral:rRNA from 1 species
UACAGAGGUCUCGAGCGUUAGGCGGAAUCACUGGGCUUAAAGCGCGUGUAGGCGGAUCGUUAAGUGCCUUGUGAAAUCCCACGGCUUAACCGGGGAAGGGGCCGCGAACUGGCGUUCUUGAGGGGGAGAGAGGAGAGCGGAAUUCCUGGUGUAGCGGUGAAAUGCGUAGAGAUCAGGAGGAACACCCAUGGCGAAGGCAGCUCUCUGGCUUCACCCUGACGCUGAGGCGCGAAAGCGUGGGGAGCGAACGGG